GCUCCAUCAUAAUGCAUUUUGUUCAGUUCCUCCACCGUCCCCUAAACCCCUCUGGGAUCCCCUUGUUUAGCAUCGGGCUGCAGCUCCUUUCUCUCUCAACACAACGUGGGUAUGAGAUACCUGCCAGAGUUUUGCCAAAUCCCCAUCCACUGUUUAGAAAUAUAUCAAAAUGUCAUUCUCAUUCAUCUCUUGCUUUAAGUUUCAGUUGGUUACAUUAUUUAAAAAACUUGUCAUGUAUGUUGUCAAUAGUGCAUGAGACAGAUAACAUGUGAAAAAUGAUAAUGUUCCUCUGCUUCCCCCCAGUGCUCCUAAUGGCAAUUGCAAGAUUUCAUUGCAGUUUCAACACCUGCUUGUACAUUUUUAUUAAACUGUCAAACCCAGCAACGUUGAUCAAAUAUGAUACAGUAAUCUGUAACUGUAUUGUGUAUCCCUUGCCUUAAAUGUUUAGCUGUGAAAUUAAUACGUUUUGACCCAGCCGACAUGCUGGGAAAGAAAACGCAGUUACAGAAUCCUUAUUCAUAUUUGAUCAGUACCUAGUUUGACAGUUUACUAGAGUUCACAAGCAGUGAUUUACACUGUGUGAAGCUCCUCGGUUUUGAUUGGCUGUUUCUCUUCAGUGCAGGAGAAUCUUCCAAAUGCUAUUUAGAGCGCUGGUGGGAGGCAGAGGAACAUGAGUUUUCACAUAUUAUCUGUUUCAUGCACUACUGUCAGUAUACAUUGACAGUUAAUAUGAAGAAACAUAUUUUCAAUAGAGUUACCAACUGUAGCUUCACGCAAGUCUUGUACGAGAUGAAAUCCUUGGAGUAUUAGAGUUGAGAUUCCUGGGAUUUGGCAGACUCUGAUGGUAAAUUAGCAGUCUCUUGCAGUAUUUCCCUCUGUGUAUUCUCCUCCUUUAAGCUGCUGCCCUCUCUGUCUCCCUCUUCCACACUGAGCAUUGCCCUAUAGUAUUCUCUCAAUUCACACUCCACACCAAACAUCAGUGUAUUCAUUGGAUACAACUAUUAUUAUAUGAGAAGGCAAACAGUGACAAAAGCUGAUAUACAAAGCAACACAAAACAGAGGCCAGUGUAACUGUCAAUAUGUCACACCAAUGUAUCAGGCUAUUUAAGAUUGUAUGUAGUGGUAUUGAACUGUGGCCAUGCAGUGAUGUGACAUACUUUUAGAGAGUGUGUUAGUGUGUUGGUAUUCUGUAUAUAUAAUUGUUUUUGAGCGUGCUAAUGCCAUGGUGUUUUUGACAGUUUUGUCCCUUUUCAUUAUCAAGCCAGGUCAAGUACUUCCUGUAGCAAAGUCCACUUAGAUUUGCUACUGUAAAGCGUUUUUUCCGUGUGACCAGUAUAGUCCUUAAUGCAAACCAAUGAUCUCUAAAUACUUUUUCAGUUGCACUAUAUCAAAAAUCUCGUGAGAGGAGCUUUAAGGCGUACUAAAUAGUUGUAUUUGGUUUAAAGCCAAAUGCAUGUGGUCCAUGGGAAUUUACUACAUUACUGGUUUUAGACCAAGGUUAAAUCAGCACACUUUCCCCCGAGAUUAGCUGUUACGCUGCGUCCGCUCCCCGCCUCCAGCAGCUCCCUGUGAUGACCCUGUCAAAGAUGUCCCUCUGACAAGCCUCCCUGUGUAACGUCCAGAUUAGGCGCUGGAGCCACUUUUGAUACCAAGACGGCAGUGGAAGGUCACUAGAGAAGUGCCCGCCACCACGUGAAGACAGUGUUAAUGUUGCACUUAUUACCUUUCUGUGUCAUUUAAAAUGUAUUGUGUAAAUGCAGUACCCAAACAGUCUCCUGACAGAGUCUGGCUUCCAUUUAUCUACAUGUCUUUUGGAACCUUUUAAAUAAUAAUGAUGUACUUUUCUUUCUGAAUGUAUUCUUUGUUCGUCAAUUUAUUGACCUGUGUUAAAGAAAUGCCAUAUGUUGGAAAGACUCUCCUCUCAUACUGUGUGAAGCUGAUUUGUGCCUUGAGAUUGUAAACAAGAGGGUAAUAAAUUAGGAAAAAGACUCGAUACAUAUUAAGUGAGCUGACAGUCGGACUUGUUCUAUCAGAAAGUACAUAUUUGAAGGCAAUAGCAAUACAGCGAAAUUGAGUCUGGUUGAUAUUGUUUAGAUUUAGAAAAACGAGGUGGCAUGUUAUUGUGCUGGUACUCACAUUUGCUUUUCUUACUUUGUUUUGUAUUAGUCAAAUUGUUUUCACUUUGACUUCUGUCUGUUUACUGAAAAACAUUUAUGAUCUGUUAAAGAUCUCAGUUUGGCCCUGUAAUGAAACAGAAUGCAAUGUCAUAUAAAACCAUUAGAUGGCACCAUUGAACACACAAUAACUGUACAUAGGUGACAUCAAUGUUGACUUAUUGGUAUCAUCUGCUCUGUUACUCUUUGUAUGUGUAUUUCUGAUUAUUACUAUGCUCCUUCUAAGUGCACAGAGUAUUAAUUAUUUCUGCCAGAUAAAAUAACCAGGAUGAGUUUGAUAUCAACCACUGCCAACAUUAGAUUUUAGGACUGCCACAAACACAAACAGCUGUACCUCAGUCACUUGUUUACUCUACUCAGACAUACCAAAAGGUUGGUGUUCUUUUUCAACACAAAGACUAAGAAAACUGUGUAUAGGCUCCUAAAAGGGUUAAGUUUCCCUUUCAGCACCACUGUCAGAUGAUGAGUUGAUCUCAUUUUCUAGCAUUUGACUUUUAAAUGACUAAGUGACUUAAACUUGUUGAUCAAUCUUGAAUCCCUGUGUUAAAGCCAUCUAGAGAUUUUUCAACAUCCUUAUUAAUGUAUCAUAUCAGAAUUGUUAUGAUUUCGCUCACUUUCAGUCAUUUAUCACACAGUGGAUUUAUUUCAUAUUUGAGCCAAAACCUUACACCAUAUUCUGUGUUGCUGUAGUAUAAUUGCAUGCUGCAGGAUCUCAGGUUAAAAAGUCUGGUUUCUUUCAGAUAUAUUCAAUUUGUGCAUUUUUAUUAAAAGCCAUAUUUCUCUACCAGAUGAUAAGGUACUGGUGCUGAAGAUGUCAACUUUUAAAUUUGCUCAAAACUACCAUCUAGAAAAAUUAGAUGUUAACUGUGUAGUAGGUAAUUCUCUGUGUAGUAAAGCCAUGUUGUGAAUAAUACAGUGAAUGUGCUGUUAAUUUAUUCUUUACAAAACAACUUAAAAAAUGAUUAUGUCUGUGAAAGAACACAUGUGAUGUGUUACUGUUGUUCAUUAGGCAAAUGAAUAAAUAAAAUGACACCAGUUCCAACUGUG